GUCCUCCCNGGCCCACCACUUCAGUGCAGCCCGAAGGGCUGUCACGACGCANUCCGCAAGGAUUGUCGGAUCACCUCGACACCUGUCGGGAAACGCUAUCAGGGGCCGUAGCUCAGCUGGGAGAGCGCCUGCUUUGCAAGCAGGAUGUCGUCGGUUCGAUCCCGUCCGGCUCCACCAAUGCGCAAUCCGUAAGGAUUGUCGUAAUCGCGACGAUCCUGUGGAUCGCGCGUAGGUGUCGAGUAGAGAUGGUGAGAGAAGUCAUUCGUAAAAAGAGUUUGCGCCGAGCCUCGGGCUCUGCGCCUGUUCUGUUUGACAUCGUAAAGAGAAGAUUUGUUCGAACUUCACGAGCCGCAAGGUUGGUGAUUUGUCGCAAGGGACGCUCAAUCCCUUGCAUAUGAUGGGUAAGCCUAACCGCGCCCUCGAACCGAUCUCGAGAAGCUGGUCUUUUUGUGCCAAUUCCAUGCGACGAUCUCUGCGAGAUCGCGCUUGAGCGACGAUCCUUCGGAUCGCGCUUUGCUAAUCUCGUAAGAGAGAGGCUGAAGCGACGAUUUCUUCGAAAUCGCGCGAUGGGUAUUGGCAAUGAGAACGAUCAAGUGUCUUAAGGGCAAUUGGUGGAUGCCUUGGCAUGCACAGGCGAUGAAGGACGUGAUACGCUGCGAUAAGCUACGGGGAGGUGCGAAUACCCUUUGAUCCGUAGAUCUC
rnacentral:misc_RNA from 1 species